CAAGUGAAGGGUUUGAUCCUGGCUCAGAACGAACGUUGGCGGCGUGGAUGAGGCAUGCAAGUCGAACGUGAAAGCCGCAAGGUGAGUAGCGUGGCGGACGGGCGAGUAACACGUAAUCAAGCUGCCUGCGAGACGG
rnacentral:rRNA from 1 species